GUUGGUGUCGAUGCUAUUGGAGGAAUUGCAGGUUACGAGAUAGCUGGCCGGACCCGCGACGAGCACGCUUCCUCCACGGGUCCCAGUCACUCUGAGAUUUCCGAAUGGAUUCUUCAUCACAUGGCGUGACGCUGACAGCGUGAUUGCAAUACUUUGGGAGAGCAAAAGGCAAAGAAAUCUACUCGAACAAAGCAUUCAGCAACCCGGACUGGCGAGCGGAGUGAAGUAUCGUCAAAUACCCAGAUCACCAGCAUGGCGUGGAGAGG